GGCGUAGGCUUAAUAGUGAAGGCAGACCCCCCUGCUGAUAGAUAUGAGAUCAAUGACUUAAAAGAAAAGACAGAUGUUGAGAGAAACUGUUAGACUUCUUUAUUGCGUUGCGAAGAGAGAUCGAAGACGAAGAUUUUCUGACGCAGUGCGGGCACUGGAUGGAAAAGACAGAUAAGAGAACAACCUACCGGAAGGGCAUACCUCAAGGAGCACCAAUCUCCCCCGGCAAACAUCUAUCUGCACGAAGCCGACCUAUG
rnacentral:lncRNA from 1 species